GCCAUAAUAACUCAGUGGUUUGGGUGUUGGACUAUGAUUCUGAAGACCAGGGUUCAAAUCCCACCUUGGGCA